CCUGUCCAGGCCUCCUUUGCAUGUUUUUCUAUGGUUGUUUCAUGAUGUUUUAGGGGGUUUUUGGGGAGUAGUUUAGAGAUAUGUUCUAGUAUGUUUGGUCCCUCAUUUGAGUCCACCUGUGUAGGUUCGGACCCGAGGAACCGAGGACCCCAGCAGUGAGUUCAACUGCUUCGGUGUUGUCAGAGUCAGCCAGAGGUGAGUGGAACUAAACUUAAUCUUUUAAAUUGAAUGUUUUAUCAUGUUUCAUGCAUCAUGAUUAUGCAAUAGGAUGAUUGCAUUAGUUUUCACGAAUAUGCUGCAUUGCAUCGAUUGUUGUUGAUGUGGGUGAAUGUUGGAUGACCCAAUUAGUCCAUGACAGGAAGACCAGGACCCCAUUCUACGGCCUGGCACGGUUAUGGGACUCGAAGACCAGGAGCCCAGAGGAGGCCCUGGGGCAAUGGUAAGUAAUGUAUGUUAUGACAGGAAGACCAGGACCCCAUGCUACGGCUUGGCACAGAGUUAGCUUGGACUAAUUGGUGACAAGUUCACCCAACCCUUAUGUGAAUUGUCUGUGUUAUGAUGCAU
rnacentral:lncRNA from 1 species